AUGCUUACUUUAGCAGCACAUGUACUAAAAUUAGAACCAUACAGAGAAGAUUGGCAUGGCCCCUGAACAAGGAUGACACGCAAAUUCACGAAGCAUUCCAUAUUAAA
ensembl:snRNA U6 U6 spliceosomal RNA